rnacentral:rRNA from 1 species
AGCCUGAACGCUGGCGGCGUGGCUAAGACAUGCAAGUCGUACGGGGCCGUAGCAAUACGGUCCAGUGGCGGACGGGUGAGUAAUGAAUCGCUAAUGUACCCCCGGACUCUGGGAUAGCCGGCCGAAAGGCCGGGUAAUACCAGAUGAUGUGGCGACAGGGCAUCCUGUUGACCCCAAAGGGAAACCGUCUGGGUGCAGGCGAUUUCGUAUCAGGUAGUUGGUGCGGGUAACGGCCCACCAAGCCGACGACGCGUAGCUGGUCUGAGAGACGGCCAGCCACAUUGGGACUGAGACACUGCCCAGACUCCUACGGGGGGCUGCAGUAACGAAUCUUCCGCAAUGCACGCAAGUGUGACGGAGCGACGCCGCGUGGAGGUUAAGUCCUUCGGAGUGUAAACUACCUGUCAGGGUUACCAAGAUCUGAGGAGCCCAGAGGAAGGACGACGGACGAACUCUAGUGCCACGCGACGCCGC